rnacentral:rRNA from 1 species
GACGAACGCUGGCGGCGUGCUUAACACAUGCAAGUCGAGCGGAAAGGCCCUGCUUUUGUGGGGUGCUCGAGUGGCGAACGGGUGAGUAACACGUGAGUAACCUGCCCUUGACUUUGGGAUAACUUCAGGAAACUGGGGCUAAUACCGGAUAGGAGCUCCUGCUGCAUGGUGGGGGUUGGAAAGUUUCGGCGGUUGGGGAUGGACUCGCGGCUUAUCAGCUUGUUGGUGGGGUAGUGGCUUACCAAGGCUUUGACGGGUAGCCGGCCUGAGAGGGUGACCGGCCACAUUGGGACUGAGAUACGGCCCAGACUCCUACGGGAGGCAGCAGUGGGGAAUAUUGCACAAUGGGCGGAAGCCUGAUGCAGCAACGCCGCGUGCGGGAUGACGGCCUUCGGGUUGUAAACCGCUUCCGCCUGUGACGAAGCGUGAGUGACGGUAAUGGGUAAAGAAGCACCGGCUAACUACGUG